rnacentral:rRNA from 1 species
GAUGAACGCUGGCGGCGUGCCUAAUACAUGCAAGUCGAGCGAAUGGAUUAAGAGCUUGCUCUUAUGAAGUUAGCGGCGGACGGGUGAGUAACACGUGGGUAACCUGCCCAUAAGACUGGGAUAACUCCGGGAAACCGGGGCUAAUACCGGAUAACAUUUUGAACCGCAUGGUUCGAAAUUGAAAGGCGGCUUCGGCUGUCACUUAUGGAUGGACCCGCGUCGCAUUAGCUAGUUGGUGAGGUAACGGCUCACCAAGGCAACGAUGCGUAGCCGACCUGAUGGGGGGAGCGGCCACACGGGGACUGAGACACGGCCCGGACUCCUACGGGAGGCAGCAGUAGGGAAUCUUCCGCAAUGGACGAAAGUCUGACGGAGCAACGCCGCGUGAGUGAUGAAGGCUUUCGGGUCGUAAAACUCUGUUGUUAGGGAAGAACAAGUGCUAGUUGAAUAAGCUGGCACCUUGACGGUACCUAACCAGAAAGCCACGGCUAACUACGUGCCAGCCGCCGCCGUAA